rnacentral:rRNA from 1 species
ACGCUCGACACCUACGGAGGCAGCAGUGGGGAAUAUUGGGCAAUGGGCGCAAGCCUGACCCAGCAAUGCCGCGUGAAGGAAGAAGGCUUUCGGGUUGUAAACUUCUUUUGUCAGGGAAGAGAAGAAGACGGUACCUGACGAAUAAGCCACGGCUAACUACGUACCAGCAGCCGCGGUAAUCUGAGCGGGCUGGCAAGGC